rnacentral:rRNA from 1 species
GUAUUUCAGACACUAAACAAAUCAUUUUAUUUCCCCAGUAUAGGCGAUAAAAAAGGAACCAGGAGCAAUAGAGAUAGUACCGCGAGGGAAAGCUGAAAAAGAAGUGAAACAAAUCAGUCAAGCUAGAAAUAGCAGAGAUUUUUCCUUGUACCUUUUGCAUCAUGAUUUAGUCAGUGUCCCUCAAGCGAAGAGCACUUUAGUUUGUUUACCCGAAACUAUGUGAGCUACUCCAAGACAGCCUAUAAAUUAGGGCGAACCCGUCUCUGUGGCAAAAGAGUGGAAAGAGCUUUGAGUAGAGGUGAUAAACCUACCGAACUUAGUUAUAGCUGGUUACCCAAGAAGUGAAUAGAAGUUCAGCCUCCCGGCUUCUUAAUUCCCAUAAUAAACCUUAUCUAUAGACCAAAAAGAAACCGAGAAAGUUAGUCAAAGGAGGUACAGCUCCUUUGAAACAAGAUACAACUUUUUUAGAAGGGUAAAGAUCAUACUAAAUGAAGGAGAUAUAUUUUAGUGGGCUUAAAAGCAGCCAUCUAAUAGAAAGCGUUAAAGCUCAGAUAUUCCUCCCAUCCUAUUAUCCUGAUUACCUUAUCUUAACCCUCUAACCUUAUUGGGUCAUCCCAUGCCAACAUGGGAGUGAUUAUGCUAAAAUGAGUAAUAAGAAAGAUAGCCUCUUUCUCCUAACAUACGUGUACCUCGGAACGAACCCCCACCGAACAUUAACGGACCCUACCCCAGAGGGCACUAGGAUAAUAAGAAAACAGCAAGAAAAACACCAAGUACUAAACCGUUAACCCCACACAGGUAUGUUUCUAAGGAAAGACUAAAAGAAAGAGAAGGAACUCGGCAAACACAUUAAGCCUCGCCUGUUUACCAAAAACAUCGCCUCUUGAAAACUAAAUAUAAGAGGUCCUGCCUGCCCAGUGACCUAGUGUUUAACGGCCGCGGUAUUUUAACCGUGCAAAGGUAGCGCAAUCACUUGUCUCUUAAAUGGAGACCUGUAUGAAUGGCCCGACGAGGGCUUGACUGUCUCCUCUUUCCAGUCAAUGAAAUUGAUCUCCCCGUGCAGAAGCGGGGAUAACAACAUAAGACGAGAAGACCCUAUGAAGCUUUAGAUAUCAGGGCAGACUAUGUUUUUUACUCCUAAUAAAGAACCAAACUUAAUAGCCCCUGCCCAAAUGUCUUUGGUUGGGGCGACCGCGGGGAAGUAAAUAACCCCCAUGUGGCAGGGAGGACUAACUCCUACAACCGAGAGCUACAGCUCUAAGCAACAAAAUUUUUGACCAAUAAGAUCCGGCAACGCCGAUCAACGAACCGAGUUACUCUAGGGAUAACAGCGCAAUCCCCUUUUAGAGCCCCUAUCGACAAGGGGGUUUACGACCUCGAUGUUGGAUCAGGACAUCCUAAUGGUGCAGCCGCUAUUAAGGGUUCGUUUGUUCAACG